AUGGGGUCUGCCACCGUCCUUGCCCUCCUCCUGGCUGUUCUCCCAGGUGCGUGUGCCCAGGUGCAGCUGGUGCAGUCUGGGGCACAGGUGAAAAGGCCCGGGGAGUCCCUGAGGAUCUCCUGUGAGACGUCUGGUUACAGAUUUACCAGUGGCUGCUGGAUCAGCUGGGAGCGCCAGGCUCCAGGGCAAGGUCUCGACUGGGUGGGGAGGAUUGAUCCUGGUGAUUCAGAUACACGGUAUGGCCCGUCCUUCCAAGGCCAUGUCACCCUCUCUGCUGACAACUCUGCCAGCACUGCCUACCUGCAGUGGAGCAGCCCGAAGGCCUCAGACACAGCCGUGUGUGACUGUGCCAGAGACACAGUGAGGCGAUGUCGGUGGGAGCCCAGACACGAACCUCCCUACUGGGACACACGGGGCCACAAUGGGGCGCGCAGGACCCACCAAGUUCAGGGCUGA